UAGCAUAUCAAUAACGGCGAGUGAAGCGGCAACAGCUCAAAUUUGAAAUCUGGCCGCAAGGUCCGAGUUGUAAUUUGUAGAGGAUGCUUUUGGCGAGGUGCCUUCCGAGUUCCCUGGAACGGGACGCCAUAGAGGGUGAGAGCCCCGUACGGUAGGACCACCAAGCCUCUGUAAAGCUCCUUCGACGAGUCGAGUAGUUUGGGAAUGCUGCUCUAAAUGGGAGGUGUACGUCUUCUAAAGCUAAAUACCGGCCAGAGACCGAUAGCGCACAAGUAGAGUGAUCGAAAGAUGAAAAGCACUUUGAAAAGAGGGUUAAAAAGUACGUGAAAUUGUUGAAAGGGAAGCAUUCAUGACCAGACUUGGGCUUGGUUGAACAUCCGGCGUUCUCGCCGGUGCACUCUGCCAGUCCAGGCCAGCAUCAGUUUGCCCCGGGGGAUAAAGGCGGCGGGAAUGUGGCUCCCUUCGGGGAGUGUUAUAGCCCGUCGUGUAAUGCCCUGGGGCGGACUGAGGAACGCGCUUCGGCACGGAUGCUGGCGUAAUGGUCAUCAAUGACCCGUCUUGAAACACGGACCAAGGAGUCGUCUUCGUAUGCGAGUGUUCGGGUGUCAAACCCCUACGCGUAAUGAAAGUGAACGUAGGUGAGAGCUUCGGCGCAUCACCGACCGAUCCUGAUGUUCUCGGAUGGAUUUGAGUAAGAGCAUACGGGGCCGGACCCGAAAGAAGGUGAACUAUGCCUGUAUAGGGUGAAGCCAGAGGAAACUCUGGUGGAGGCUCGCAGCGGUUCUGACGUGCAAAUCGAUCGUCAAAUAUGGGCAUGGGGGCGAAAGACUAAUCGAACCUUCUAGUAGCUGGUUUCCGCCACU
rnacentral:rRNA from 1 species